GAGGAGGGAAGGAUACAAGAGCGAGGGGACAAUUGCAAUUGCACACACAAACAGCAAGGAACACAACGGCGACGAAAAAAAAGUUGUACACCGCCAAACUCGUCAAGAGAGUGAGCCGCACACACUCGACUUCGGGAGCAAGGCGAUGCAUCGAUGAGGUGGCGAUCUGUCAAACUUACACGUUCGUGGAAGUUGACGCGGUUUUCGAGUGCGUGCUGGUUUUGCUGCAUGGGAGUUUGGAGCCAAAUGCAGUAUUCGUCGUUGCACCGAGUAUGAACCACCAAACAGAGAGAAGAGAGAGAGAGACCUUGAAGGAGCCAGUGCUGGAGGGAAAGAACGAGACAAACUCCGCAAACGAUGACGGCAGCGGUAAGAGAGGAGAACAGAAUCCCCGAACAAAAGAUCUCUUUGUAGAGGACUGGACAUCGCCGGGAGGCGGACGAGGACCAGGGAGGGUUGAAAAUCCAGCGCUGAAGGAAUGCAGCCGUCGUCUGAGAUGCAUUCGGCCGAGAAGUGCAUCGGAUGCACUUUUUUCGAUUGCAUCUUGAGCGGUUAAGUUUGGCGGGCUCGGGGUUAAGUUUUGAAAAAAUAUGUUCUGAGAGACUCUUUUUUUGGAAGAAAUUUGGGUUAAGGAAUGCAAAA